AGCAGCCGCGGUAAUUCCAGCUCCAAUAGCGUAUAUUAAAGUUGUUGCAGUUAAAAAGCUCGUAGUUGAAUUUCGGGAUUAAUAUGUUGGUCGUGCCUUGGUACGUACUGGCAUUAUUGAUUCCUACCUCUGAAGAACCUCGAUGUCAUUAAUUUGGUGUCUUGGGGAAUCAGGACCGUUACUUUGAAAAAAUUAGAGUGUUUAAAGCAGGCUCGCGCUUGAAUACAUUAGCAUGGAAUAAUGAAAUAGGACGUUUGAUUCUAUUUUGUUGGUUUCUAGGAUCGACGUAAUGAUUAAUAGGGAUAGUUGGGGGCAUUAGUAUUCAAUUGUCAGAGGUGAAAUUCUUGGACUUAUUGAAGACUGACUACUGCGAAAGCAUUUGCCAAGGAUGUUUUCAUUAAUCAAGAACGAAAGUUAGGGGAUCGAAGACGAUCAGAUACCGUCGUAGUCUUAACCAUAAACCUAUGCCGACUAGGGAUCGGAUGAUGUUAAUUUUUAAUGACUCAUUCGGCGCCUUAAC
rnacentral:misc_RNA from 1 species